rnacentral:rRNA from 1 species
AUUGAACGCUGGCGGCGUGCCUAAUACAUGCAAGUCGAGCGAACCACUUCGGUGGUGAGCGGCGAACGGGUGAGUAACACGUAGGUGAUCUGCCCAUCAGACGGGGACAACGAUUGGAAACGAUCGCUAAUACCGGAUAGGACGAAAGUUUAAAGGUGCUUCUGGCACCGCUGAUGGAUGAGCCUGCGGCGCAUUAGCUAGUUGGUAGGGUAAAGGCCUGCCAAGGCGACGAUGCGUAGCCGACCUGAGAGGGUGAACGGCCACACUGGGACUGAGACACGGCCCAGACUCCUACGGGAGGCAGCAGUAGGGAAUCUUCGGCAAUGGGCGAAAGCCUGACCGAGCAACGCCGCGUGAAUGAUGAAGGCCUUCGGGUUGUAAAAUUCUGUUAUAAGGGAAGAACGACUUUAGUAGGAAAUGGCUAGAGUGUGACGGUACCUUAUGAGAAAGCCACGGCUAACUACGUGCCAGCCGCCGCCGUAAUAC